rnacentral:rRNA from 1 species
GACGAACGCUGGCGGCGUGCUUAACACAUGCAAGUCGAACGGAAAGGCCCUGCUUUUGUGGGGUGCUCGAGUGGCGAACGGGUGAGUAACACGUGAGUAACCUGCGCUUGACUUUGGGAUAACUUCAGGAAACUGGGGCUACUACCGGAUAGGAGCUCCUGCUGCAUGGUGGGGGUUGGAAAGUUUCGUCGGAUGGGGAUGGACUCGCGGCUUAGCAGCUUGUUGGUGGGGUAGUGGCUUAGCAAUGCUUUGACGGGUAGCCGGCCUGGGAGGGUGACCGGCCACAGUGGGACUGAGAUACGGCCCGGACUCCUACGGGGGGCAGGAGUGGGGAAUAUUGCCUAACGGGCGGAGGCCUGAUGCAGCAACGCCGCGUGCGGGAGGACGGCCUUCGGGUUGUAAACCGCUUUCGCUUGUGACGAAGCGUGAGUGACGGUAAUGGGUAAAGAAGCACCGGCUAACUACGU